AACGCACAUUGCGCCCCUAGGUAUUCCUUGGGGCACGCCUGUUCGAGCGCCGUUAUCACAAUUAAGGCUCAGCCACCGAUGGUGUUGUCUGUUCAAGGACUCACUGAAACCUAUUGAGCGCCUCCCGAUCUCAUGCAGCGUAGCGAAUACAUCGCUGUCGGUUGUCGAGGUAGGUCGCCAGUAAUAAUCACCAGUUUGGCCUCGAAUCAGGUGGGGAUACCCGCUGAACUUAA
rnacentral:misc_RNA from 1 species